CCUUCGCUGAUGAUCCAGUGUGAUGACUUUCGUUCUUCUGAGCUUGCUGAAGCCAUUCUUGAGAUCUGAGGAGG
rnacentral:snoRNA from 1 species